rnacentral:pre_miRNA from 1 species
UGCUCCUUCUCCCAUACCCAUUGCAUAUCGGAGUUGUGAAUUCUCAAAACACCUCCUGUGUGCAUGGAUUACAGGAGGGUGAGCCUGGUCAUCG